GAAUUCCUUUGGUAAGUGCCAACGGCUAUGAUGGCAUAAAGGAGUAUAAAAGGAAGACGUUCUAGUUGUUUUAAGUGUGUGAUUGAUAGAAAAAUUCCAGAGUCUGAAGAACCUUGAUUGUUAGUCGAUACAGUUCGAGCAAAAUUGUAUACACAGAGAGUGUUCAUACUUGGUGACACCUUGAGCGAGUGUAGUAGAUCAUCUACACCUAGAAAUCAAGGAAGAUCAACACUGUAACAUCUCUUUGUUCAUAGUGGAAUCCAGCCAAUCGGCUGUCAGUGCAGAAGAGUGGACGUAGGCUUGAAUCAAGCCGAACCACUAUAAACCUUGUGUUUAAUUCUCUCUUCCCUUUACUCAGUCUUACGAUUGAUUUUAUAUUCCUUUAUCUGUC
rnacentral:lncRNA from 1 species